rnacentral:lncRNA from 1 species
UAUAUAUAGAGCUACUAUACUCUUAUGAGUAUAGAGCCCUUCGUCCUUAAAAGUUAUUUUUUAUGAUGGAACUUCCGAAUCGACGAUUGCGUUAAAUAUGAUCUAAAGUAUUUAAAAUUUCUAAAAAGUAAAUUUCAUAAUUUUGCGAAACUAUAAUAAAGUCAAUCAAGCGGGCAUAAAAUGAACGGUCAAAAUCCAACGACAUUCUAAAAAUAGAUGAUCGGAAUCUUCAAUUUAAGAUUGGAAUUAUUUAUCUUUAUAUAGAUAGUGAAAAGAAUUUUCUAUCAAAAAUUUCACUGAUUCUUUUACACCGUUAAACUAACAAGUAUUCAAUACCGGCCGUUAAAAAUUGUCAAUUUUGAAAUCUUUUUAUUGUAAUGUAAAUGAUGUCGAAAAAUUAUAAAAUUUAAUUUCUAAAAAUUUUAAAUAUUUUAGAUAACGUUUAACAGUAUAAAUCGUCGAUUCGGAAAUCCUAUCAUCAAAAAUAAUUUAUGAAUAUGAAAGCGAUCGUGCCGAUAAGAACAUAUAU